AACGAACGCUGGCGGCGUGCCUAACACAUGCAAGUCGAACGAGAAAGGGGCUUCGGCCCUGAGUAAAGUGGCGCACGGGUGAGUAACACGUAGGUAACCUGCCUCCAAGAUUGGGAUAACAUGUCGAAAGACGUGCUAAUACCGAAUAAGACCACAGUUUCCUCGGAAACAGGGGUCAAAGGUAGCCUCUAUUUAUAAGCUACCACUUAGAGAUGGGCCUGCGUACCAUUAGCUAGUUGGUAGGGUAACGGCCUACCAAGGCAAAGAUGGUUAGCUGGUCUGAGAGGAUGAUCAGCCACACUGGAACUGAGACACGGUCCAGACUCCUACGGGAGGCAGCAGUGGGGAAUAUUGCGCAAUGGGCGGAAGCCUGACGCAGCAACGCCGCGUGAGUGAUGAAGGCCUUCGGGUCGUAAAGCUCUGUCGGAGGGAACGAAUGUUUCUGAGGUUAAUAGCCUCAGGAAGUGACGGUACCCUCAAAGGAAGCACCGGCUAACUCUGUGCCAGCCGCCGCCGUAAGAC
rnacentral:rRNA from 1 species